rnacentral:lncRNA from 1 species
CGACCUCACUCAAAUGUUGUUUUCCAUGUGCCAGUAAGGUGAUGCUGGUAACGAUCACACUCAAAUGGUGAUAUUUUCUUGGUCAACUUUCCUCAUGAUGAACUUUCUUCAUAGGAAAUUGACGGUGGUGAACAUACCUGUAAUCAUUCUCUCACUCCUGGCUAUUAAAUGGUUGUUGACCCUACUGAGCUCCCUUGUCCAUUGACAGGCUUUGUCUUAUGUUCUGCAGGAUGUCCAAUGAAAACAACUCUCCUUACAAAGAAGACUUGAUAGUUUAGUUGCUGACAGCCCAUGUGACGAGUUGUACUGCAUUAUAUGUCACCAACAGCACUAAAAGUGACAUAACAUACAUGCAUAUGAAAUAAAUUGAAAUAAACUGAAAUAAACUUUAAAAAUUUCUCUUUUAUGGAAUAUAUUCAUAAACACCAACUCAAGGAAUACUAGUGGAAUAUUUCCAUCAAAACUUCUGUCAAAUGUAAACAUAAGAUGCUGGAUAUUGUUUUUUGGGGCAGAUGGGCAAAGGUAUGUACCAUUAUAGAGGUCAGCUGCCCUGCAGAUAUAAAUAUCUCUUUGAAAAAUCAAAGGAAAAGAGGAUCUCUAUGGACAACUGCUUCAAAACCUUCAGCUUCUAUAUCCAGACUAUAAAUUCAUACCAUACCAAUAAUAAUUGGAGCACUAGGUUUUGUUAGUAAAUGCUUAAAGGAGAAUCUGGAUAAACUGGGAUUUUCAGAAAGAGAAAUCAACCAACUAAUUCGUACAUUAUAAGUGCAAUCUGUGAGUGGAACAGUAAAAAUAUGCAAGACUUUUCUCAAGUUCCAAAUGUGAAUUUGUCUGUGUUAACUACAUCCCAAAGAUAGAUCCUUGUAUCUUUGUUGGAAACCAGCUCUCUCCUCAGUGGAAGAUUUAUGAUAAUUAAAAAAAUAUACAUACAUCAGCUUCUUACAUAUUAAUGGAGCAAAGGGAUACAUACCAACCCGUAUGGAGCAAAGUAUAGCUGAACUUAGGAUCUUGGGGAGAGAAUGCAAAUCCUUAAUUCAUAUGCUAAAAAUGACUGUGAUAUCUGGGUCUAUAAAAAUCUUUAAGACCUUCUUACCAUUUAAAGGAUACGGAUUAAACGAGUUUUUUCCCACACAAUUUUGCUAACAAGUUGGCAGCUGGUCAAAAUUUACUCUAGUUUAAAAAGAGAAUGAGAAAAUCAUACAUACAUGCAUACAUACAUACAUACAUACAUACAUACAUGCACAGAUACAUACAUACAUGCAUACAUACAUACAUACACACAUACAUACAUACGUACAUACAUACACACAUACAUACAUACAUACACACAUACAUGCAUACACACAUACAUACAUACAUACAUACAUACAUACAUACAUACAUACAUACAUACACACUGUGGGCUUCUGGAUAUUACUUCUCUCAAAGUUCACUCAAAAAAGGUGCUAGCUGAUUUAGGGCUAUGGUAGAAGACACUUGCCUAAGACACUUACGACGUAGUAGGACAGAACCCAUGACUCCAUGGUUUCAAAGUGAACUUCUUUACCGUUUGAGUAUGCAGCAAUAACAGCAAAAUUAUUUCAGAAUAUAUUAGUGAUAUUUGAUAUUGAAUGUUUGUAUCAGCAGAUUCCAUUUCAAGAUAUUAGUUAUUUGCUGAAUAUUAUAAAAGUCCAGCAAAUGUACUUCAGUGCUCAGACGAAAUUAUAGUAUGAAGAAAAUAGAUGUGCACCACUUGUUUAUUGCAAAACUGAUUUUUAGUUUUCUGUGUACUGUUAUGAUCAUCUGACACAAUUUUGAUGUGUAGCUAAUUUUCUAUAGGCUUAGGAGUGGCUGUGUGGUAAGUAGCUUGCUUACCAACCACAUGGUCCCGAGUUCAGUCCCACUGCGUGGCACCUUGGGCAAGUGUCUUCUACUAUAGCCUCGACCAAAGCCUUGUGAUUGGAUGUAGUAGACAGAAACUGAAAGAAGCCCAUUGUGUACAUACGUGUGUGUGUGUGCAUGUGUGUGUGUAUAUAUAUAUGUAUAUAUGUAUAUAUUUAUGUGUAUGUGUGUCUGUGUCUCCGUUUGUCCCCCACCCCACCACUACCACCACUUUCUGGUAUGUUUACAUCCCCAUAGCAUAAUGGUUCAGCAAAAGAAACCACUAGAAUGAGUACCAAACUUAAAAAAAAAGAAGUUCUGGGGGUUGACUUCGACUAAAACCCUUCAAGGUGGUGCCCCAGCAUGGCCACAGUCAAAUGACUGAAACCAGCAAAAGACAAGAGAUAAUAUAUAUAUAUAUAUAUAUAUAUAUAUAUAUUGCAUAUGGGGGAAAUGGCAUUGUGGGUUAUAGGUUUCCUGUGGAUCAGUCAUUGGGUCACCUUGUUUCUGAUGGUGAGAAUGACAAGCAGGUGUCUGUAGACCAUUUUAGAACAAACAUCACAAAUAAAUUCAUUCAAAGUAUACCUUUAUUUCUAGCAUUUUCUUCAUAAACACACAAACAUAUAUACAUACAACUAUAUAUAUCCACUCACAUCAUCAUUUAAUGUCUGCUUGCAUGGGUGAGACAGAAUUUGUUGCAGCAGAUUUUUCACAACCCUCAUGACCUUUUUCUGACCAACCUUAACCUGUUUCCAUGCAAAAUAUUAUUCUCCAUAGCCUGAAGUCUUCCUUUGAAGACUGGAAAUGAAUAAUGUCGUUUGUAUGAUGGUGAUUCACAUUUACAACCAUCACAUGAUGUCUAAACAAAGGGAACUUCAGUCACGCAAACAAAUAUAUAUAUAUAUUCGGCUCUCCAGCAUCCUCGCCACCCAAUGCAGUCCCUUCCACUCUCCCUCAUGUGCCUAUCUACACACUCUCCAUGCUCUCACAUCUUCCGCAUCCAGCUUCCAGUCACCCCAAUUCCUCUCCCUAUCAUUUACCAUCUCUAAUCCUCCCUGCUUACAUUCUUAUUGAACCUCCCCACUCUCUAUUCUUUCUGUUCUACUUAUACUCCCUCAACUGUUCCCUGUGGGUAGACCUUCUCUCUCUCUGAUUAUCUCUCCAUCUUCCUCUCUAACUCUCUCCCAGCUUCCUCUCCUCCAUCCUUGUCCUGUUGGGAUAGCCAAGUAUCUCCUCUAUAGUAAGACAGCUAUCAUGCUCCAGCCUCUUGCCUGGUACAUGGCUAUUUCUCUCAGUUUCGCUUCCUCUCUCAGCCAGGAUGUCUUUGUUUUGUAAGCUACUUGGCAACCCACAGGUGCUGGUGUCAUCUAAAAUGCACCAUUACUGGUGCUACAUAAAAAGCACCUGUGCUGGUGCCACAUAAAAUGCACCUGUACUAGUGGCACCUAUAAAGCACCACACUCCACUCCAGUAUCCAGUGUAGUGCAACAUGAGGCACCAACCUUCAGAUUGCCUAGUAGUGUGUGGAAUGCAAGCUAAGACAUAAAAACAACAAUAAACAGAAAAGAGGUGUGGUAUUCAGUAAUUUGGGAGACAUACACAUGUUUUGCUAAAAUGCCGAAAUGAUUACAUUAUAGAAGCAGAAAUGUUAUGUAAUCAAGCACCAGCCUUCAUCAGUGUCUUGCAAUAAAUACAACAUCGAUAGAGAUAUACAUUGCAGGACACUGAUGAAGUGAAGUGCAUGAUUUCAUAAUGUUUUUACCAUUGUUAUGUAAUUAUUUCAGCAUUGAAUACUACAGUGUUUACUGCUUAUUAUAUAUGUAGAGUCAUCCCAUAAAUAAUGCAGUUUUUUAUACUUCUUUUAUUUUUCAAAAUUAAGAUAAACAAAGAUGUUUUUUUUUUAAUCUAAAAUAUACUCUCCUUCAUUUUCUACAAUGCUCUUCCAUCUACCUGGUAGACUUGCAAUGCCCCUCUUCCAAAAAUUCAGUUGUCCAUGACAAAAAAUACUCUUCCAGUACUGUUCUGACCUCAUCAACAGAAUUCAUAUUUUUUCUGUCCAACUGAUUUUGAAGACUGUGGAAUAAAUAAUAAAUCAGAUGGGGCAAUGUCUGGUGAAUAUGGUAGGUGGGACAUCGUUUCCCAUUCAAACUGCUCCAGCUUUUGGAAUGUUAUCCUUGUCGUAUGUGGCCAAGCAUUAUCCUAAUGGAAGAACACCUUUUGUCUUGAAACCAAAGAUGGUUGUUUUUCUUCUAAUGCUGACUUAAGCCACUCAAGCAGCUUGCAGUAGAUCUCCUUUAUUAUUAUUUGGUUUGGGUUUAAAAGUUCAAAGUGGACUAAACCUUUCAUAUCCCACCAAACAGAUAACAACACUUUAAGUGGGUGAAGACCUUCUUUAACCUGGGGUUCCAGUGAUUCUCCUUUCCCAACCCACUGUCUUUGACACUUGACAUUUUUAUAGAGAACCCAUUUCUCAUCACCAGUCACUAUUCAGUCCAAAAAUGGUUCAUUCAUGAGACAUCACAGCAAAGAAGAACAUACGUUCACUCUCUGCAUGCGAUUAGACUUGGAAAAUUUAUGAGGAACCCAUUGACCCAAUUUCCUGACUUUUCUGAUGGCACACAGGUGUCAGUGAAUGGGUGAAUAACCAAAUCCCAGCUUCUCUGCUUGUUCCUCAACAGUUACAAUGGGAUUUUGAUCUACCAGGGUUUGUUUGACAACCUGAUUGAGCUCUACAGAUCUUCCAGAAUGAGGCUUGUCUUCUAGGCUGUAGUUUCCAGCUUGGAAUUUCUGGAACCACCAUUGACACUGGCUUACGCUUAUUGUCUGAUCCCCGUAUACUACAUUAAUAUUCCUCACACUUUCUGUUGUGUUGUUGGCUUUCUUGAACUCAUAAAGCAAAAUAUGCUGAAUAUGCUCCUUUGUCACUUCCAUUAUAGUUUCGAAAAAAUAACUGUUAAAAUCAAAUGGCACUUUUCAAAAGCUUGCACUGAAAAUAAGGACAAGGUAAAAUUACUGCCUGCUUUUAUAGCAAAUUGAUGCAGGUAGUUUGUGCCAUCAUCCUCCUCCGACUUUUAGAUCAUGCAAUUGAAAAAACUGCAUUAUUUACGGGAUGACCCAAUACAUACAUACAUACAUAUAUAUAUGUAUAUUUUUUCUCUCCUUGUUUUUUCUGUGUCCCUUUCUGUAGAAGAGUGUAGGCUCGAAACAUAAAAGACUUUUUCUAUUCCUGAGCGUUAUACUAAUACAUCUAUUUGUCUUGUACACCACCUGCCUUUGUCUUUUGUUUUCUUUGUAAACUCUCCCUAUAUAUAUAUAUAUAUAUAUAUAUAUAUAUAUAUAUAUAUAUAUAUAUGUAUCUCUCUAUAUAUAAACGGCAGAUUGUCUGUCUGUGUGUCUGUGUGUCUGUCAGGUUGUACCCUCACCUGACCACGGUUUUCAACCGAUUCUGAUGAAACUUGACACACACAUAGCCCAAUGUCAUAAUUCAAAACUAACGCAGGGAAAAUUUUGAAAAGUUCCCCCAAUUCUGAGGAAAAUCGAUAAAUUCGUCAUGGGGUCGAGAAUCUAAGCUUUUUAUAUGCAACACAUUUUCUGUUGUAGUUUUCGCAGUCGUUGCCUACUAGGGGCUCUUACAUACCCGGGCAACGCCGGGCUAUGCUGCUAGUAUAUAUAUAUACAGAAAGGCAUGCAUACACAUAUGCACACAUGCACACAGCCACAUAUUCAUUAGGUUCUUGCAUAGUUUCCAUCAUCUAAAUUCCACUCAAAGAUAUUUGUCAGUACAGGCCAGGCCUAUAACAGAAGAUCUUUACUCAAUGUUCCCUGCUGUGAUAUUGAACCUCAGAAUAUGCCUUCACGUGCCAAACUUCUAAACCAUAUCUCUACACAUAUGCCAUUAUUUCUAUAUAUAUAUUAGAGACAUUUGUUAUUACAAGGUAGUAACAAUGUGUUCUAUUUUAAGCUAUCAUUAUAUACUGGCUAAUAAAAAUAUCGGGUACUUUAAUGUUGAGACUAAAUUACAACAUUACUAAAAUAAAUAUAUACACUCACUUAUUUAUUACAAACCAGAAACUUCCUUGCAUGCCGCUGUAGAACUUCUGUGUAUCCAUAUGCUUAAUAUAUAUAACUUGCUCUCAGGUAAAGUUUUAAUAUUUUUACAGAAUGCUGAUCUUGCAAUAUAUAUAUAUAUCUGUGCAUACACACUCAUACCCACACCCACACAUAGAGAUAAAUACAUAUACAUACAUAUAUAUAUGUAUGUGUAUAUAUAUAUAUAUGUAUGUAUAUAUAUAUAUGUAUAUAUAUGUAUGUAUAUGUAUAUAUAUAUGUAUAUAUAUGUAUAUAUAUGUAUAUAUAUAUAUAAAUAAAUAAAUAUGUACAUAUAAAUAUAUAUAUAGAUGUGUAUAUAAAUAAAUAUGUAUAUAUAUAUAAUAUUUAUACAUAUAUAUAUGUUGAUAUAUAUAUAUAUAUAUAUAUAUAUAUAUGUAUAUAUAUAUACAUACACACAUACAUACACACACACAUACGUACUCACACAUAUAUACGUUUCCAGAGAUCUCUUCCACUAUAGUGAAUAUUUGUUGCCUUCUCGAGAAAUAAAUAGUCAAUAUAUUCCUCUGUGGAGAAUAUUGUUUGUCUUUCAGCAUAAUGAACAGUUGUUGCUUUUUUUUUUUAGUAUAGUUCAUUUUUUUUUUUUUUUUUUUUUUUUUUUUUGUUUUUCUGUUUUCACAACUGAGAAACGUAUUUACUCUCAAAAAUUCAGUGUCGUCUAAUAGCGAGAAUAUAACUUGCUCUUUCGCUAUUGUCAAAUUCUUUGAUCUUUUUUUUUUGACUAAACUGCAUUAGCCAUUUGGAUUUUGUGUUGAAUGUGAUAUUUAAAUAUUGAUGUAUGAAAUUCUUUGUUGUUGUAUCUCUGGACAUUUAAUCUACCUAAUAUAAUAUAUGUAUAUGUUUGGCAUCACCAAUGUACCAACCUCCAAUAGUAUCUAUUUUAUGACUUACUGUACGGUAUGUUUGAGGAGGCGGAUGAGAAUUCUUUAACCCUUUUUCAAAUGAAAUACAUUGUCUGUGUCUUUUAAAUUAAUUUUAAACAUGAAAAGGUGCUGGCAUGGCUGUGUGGUAAGACGCUUGGUUCCAAACCACAUGGUUCCAGGUUCGGUCCCACUACAUGGCAUCAUGAGCAAGUGUCUUCUAGAACAGCCUUGGGCCAACCAAAGCCUUGUGAGUGGAUGUGGUCGACGGAAACUGAAAGAAGCCCAUUGUAUGUGUAUGUAUAUAUAUAUAUAUAUAUAUAUAUAUAUAUAUAUAUAUAUAUAUAUAUGUAAACGUGUGUGUGAUAGUGUCUUUGUUUCUGUGUUUGUCCUUCCACUAUUGAUUUGCAACUUGUGUUGAUGUUUUUAUGCUCCUGUAACUUAGCAGUUUGGUAAAAGAGAUUGAUAGAAUAAGUAUUAGGCUUUGAAAAGGAAAAAGAAGUACUGGGGUCGAUUCAUUUGACUAAAGCCCUUCAAGUCAGUGCCCCAGCAUGGCCAGAGUCUAAACACAGAAACAAGGGAAAGACAAAAGCAGAAGAUGAUCUGUUUUGGAAAUAUUUUGUCAUUUAUUUAUUUCAGCACCUCAGAAUGAACUGUGGCCAUUCUGGUGCUGCCUUGAAGGUUUAAGCUGAAUAAAUCAUCCCUCUUAUUAUCUUUUCUGAAAUCUGGUACUUAUUCCUUCUGUUACUUUUACUGAACUGCUAAGUUAUGGGGAUGUAAACAAACCAACACCAGUUAUCAAGUGGUUUUAGAGGACAAAUACAAGCACAAAAGUAUACAUACAUACAUACAGACAGACACACACAUAUAUAAACAUACACACACAUAUAUAAACAUACACACAUACACACACAUACAUACAUACAUACAUACAGACAGACAGACAGACAGACACACACACACACACACACACACAUAUAUAUAAACAUACACACAUACAAACACACAUACAUACAUACAUACAUACAUACAGACAGACAGACAGACAGACACACACACACACACAUAUAUAUAUAAACAUACACACAUACACACACACACACAUACUAAUACAUACAUAAAUAUAUAUACAGAUAAGAUAUUUGUCGACAUCUAUAUAUUCAUAAAAAAAGAUAUAUGAUAACAGAUAAUAACUUUAUUUAUCAAAAAAUGCUAUGAGAAUAAAAAUGAACCUUCUUUUCUAUAAUGUUAUUCAAUAAAGCCACCUUCAGCUUCAAUAACUGCUUCUAUAUGAGAUCUAAAUCAUCUACAUGCUCGAAUCAAGUGGUCCUGGUUCAUUUUGGACAUUACUUUGACUAUGGCAGCUUUCAAAGAAUCUUUGGUGUUAUGGACAUGUUCAGUGACCUCUCUCUCAACAAUGUUCCACAUGUAAUAGUCCAAUGGAUUAGAUGUGGGGAAUUAGGAGGCCAAGUGUUAGGGGUUAUGAAAAGUUUCAGCUAUCCAUUCCUGUGUUACUAGAGCCCUUUGUGAUAGUGCAGGGUCUUACUGAAACACAUAUGACCUUCUGUUGUAUACACUGUCUAUCCAGGGCUUGACAAUUGUUUCCAGGACCUCAAUGUAGGCAGCAGAGUUAACUCUAAAGCCUUAUGGAAAGAAGUAAGGAGGCAUCACAUGUCCUUCAUUGCUGACAACCCUAAAACCAUGAUAGUUGCAUGAAAUUUUGUAUGCAUAACACUUGGAACUUCUGAAGGGUCUGCACAUCAGUCAUUUCUUCUGUUAACCUUUUGAUCUUGGUUGAAGUUUUUCUCGUUGGAGAAAAACCAAAUCAAAUCUUCUGCUGGAUUUUUCAGUUUGUUUAAGAGUCUUUUAGAUCUGAUGUAAUUAUUUUCUUUUGCUUUUUCUGACAAAUUGACUUUUCCUCGUCAUAUAAGAUUUAUAUCUGAUGUCUUCGUGGAUAACAUUUCUGACUGUUCCUUCUGACACAUGAAGAUCUUUUGCAAUUGACCUCAUGGACUUUCUGGUAUUAUAAUCAAAUGUCUGUUGAACUUGCUGGAUAAAUUCAGGUUUUCUGAUGAUUUCAGAGCAUUUAGAAUGCUUUUUAUGCUUUGAUACUGGUGAUACAUUUCCAUCUUCAGUCUCUAGCUCCUUACAAACUUUGUAGUCGAAAGAUCUGGCAACUUUUAGAAGUCAAGAUAUUUCUAAAUCGUUAUGCUCAGCCUUUAUAACCACAACAACAGCAUGCCUCUUCAUUUCUUGAGUAAGCUGAGCGCCUGCAAUUAUUUUCUGAAACAAAGAUUAUACAGAGCUAGCAAAAAUUCCGCAAUGACCCAAAAAAGGUAUGUCCUCAAAUACCUUAUGCACCCUGUAUAUAUAUACACACACACACAUACACACAAUAAGCUUCCACACAGUUUACCUUUGCCAAAUUUACACACAAAGUAUUGGUCAGUCUGGGACAAUAGUGGAAGAUACCUGCCCAAAUUGUCAUAGUUGGAAAAAGAGCUUCUUAACCACACAACCAUGUCUGUGCUUAUUAAUCUUUUACUUGUUUUAGUUAUUAGACUGCAGCCAUGCUGGGGCAUCAUCUUGAAGGAUCUUUACUCAAAUAAAUCAACCACAGUAAUACAGUUCUAUAUUUAAGAGAUGAGGAAUUAUGUACAUUAUUUACAUUAUUUACAAUUGACAGAUAUUUGUCCUCAUCUUGUUUGUUGUUAACACAACGUUUUGGCUGAUAUACCCUCCAGCCUUCAUCAGGUGUCUUGGGGGAAAUUUCGAACCUGGGUUCUCAUUCCUAAGGUACUUUUCGAUGUUAUUAUUAUCGUUAUUAUUAUUAUUAUUAUUAUUAUUAUUAUUAUUAUUAUUAUUAUUAACUGAUGUUGUUCCAAUCAGUUGAAAAUGGGUAUCAAUUAAAGGCUAGUGCAUCCACCACCUCUCUCACUCUCUCUAGUGGUCACAUCCUCAAUGCUUCACGGGGUCAAAGGAUAGAAGGCCAAGAGGUGUCAAUAGUUGUUCAUGACUACAUAGGUACCUAAAAUAUAUAGUAUAUGCUACCAAGUCAUACAUACUUAUGAGUGCUGGCUAUGUCUUUUGAUUUUUACAUUUAUGGUAUAUUUUAUUAUAUCUUAUCAUCAAAUGGAAAUGAAUAUUUUGGUUCAUAGUGUAUCAAACAUCUAUGUUUUCAUUGUUAAUAUUCUGCAAUAUGAUUUAUUAUGCUUCGCUGUUUAGUUGUGAUAUUUUUAUACUGGUUAAUGAUUUAAGAUUUAUAUAUUGUUGCUUGUAAUACAUAUGUAAGCUUGAUAGACAUUUUCCAAGUAGCCAACAAAGAUGAAUAUUUUUUUUCCUUUUAAAUGAACAACUCUUUAUAAUACUAUCAACAACUAAAAGUUAUGUAUUUGCUAAAAGAAUGCCUUGAUUAAUAUAUAUAAAAGUAAACAAAAUGAUAUAUUUGCCUUACAUCAGAUGAGAGAACAUAUGCAAAAUUAAAUUUCAUUGUUACACAUUUUGAAAAUGAUUAAUAAAUCUGAACUUUUGUAAUCAGCUAACAAAAGACUUUGAUCAGUAAACUGUGCAGUAAUGUUGUUCAGACAUCUGUGAUAAUAAAAGGCAAAAACAGUCAAAUAUAUCCAAGGCUGCUUUAAAUUUCUCAAGGUCUCACAGAGUGGCCCCCAAAUGACUUACUCGACUUCACUAGCUCACAGACACAUUGUUUCCUCUCUGUCGCAUCUAUCAUUAACAAUGAAUGUAUCUACUUAUCUGGACUGUUAAAUCAUGCACUACCUCCACAAAAUGCAUCUAAUGGCACCAGCCACUCCUAUACUUAUCAUUUAUACUUUGACACUCUCAACAAAGCCUUCACUCUAAAACUUUCUCCUGUGCUUCCUGCUACACAGCCUUAUCUUCUGGAACUCAUUCCUUAGCUAUGCGUUGUUGUUGUUUAGACUCAGAUCAACCUUAAAUGAAUAGAAUCAAAAGCACUCCAGCUUUACCAUUUCAUCUUAAACCAAUGUAUCAUUUGUGUGAGAUUUAACUGUUAUUUCUUGUAGGGUGAGUGACUGUGUGUGAUAGGAGCUCCCAAAUUACCAAAUUUUUCACUACAUGUCGAUGCCAGCACUGCCUGGGCCGAUGCCAGCGCCGCCUCGACUGGCUUCUGUGACGGUGGCACGUAAAAAGCACCAUCCGAAUCGUGUCCAAAGCCAGUGCCGCCUCGACUGGCUUCCAUGCCAGUGGCACGUAAAAUGCACCAAUCCGACCGUGGCCGAUGCCAGCCUCACCUGGCACCUGUGCAGGUGGCACGUAAAAAGCACCCACUACACUCACGGAGUGGUUGGCAUAGAAACACUGCAGAAACACUGCCAAAUAAGACUGGAGCCUGGUGCAGCCUUCUGGCUUCCCAGAUCCCCGGUCGAACCGUCCAACCCAUGCUAGCACGGAAAACGGACGUUAAACGAUGAUGAUGUAUUAGAUUACAGAAAAUCAAGGUGAACAGCAUUCAAAUCUAUUUCAUGAGUUUGAGAUGGUUCGCAAAGGUCAUGGUAGCCUCCCUUAAUCUUCCGUCUGCUAAAUAAUGAGAAAUACACAUAUAACAUGCUAAAACCUAAUGAUACAGUAAUUGUCACUAAAAUCAUCAUGGAAUUAAAUGAUUCAUUAAUUAAAACAGUCUGUAAGCACUUCCCAAUUUUAUAUCAUAUUGUCUUUCUAACCUACUGCUGUACAACUGUGAAAGUGAACAUGAUGACUAUUCAGCACAUUAGCAGAGCACAGAUAAAUUCUUCGAAUUGGAGAUCUUGUUAGGCAAGUAAUGAAUGAACCAGUCCCUGAUGAAAUCCUAUUUAAAGUUUGCUAACUAUAAUUUUGAGUUUAGAGAAGAAUUUUGGAAAUGAAGCAUUCAAACCUCUUAAUUAAGAAGCAGCUAUGUAAAAGAAAUUAAAUAUAAAAGUAUGUAUGCACAUGUGGUUACACACACAAAUCUAUUUAUAUGAUUAUAUAUGUAUAUACAUAUAUGUAUAAUUAUCUGUAUAUAUAUACAUACAUAUAUAUAUAUAUAUAUAUAUAUAUAUAUAUAUAUAUAUAUAUAUAUAAUAUAUAUACAUAUAUGUAUAUGUAUAUAUAUAUAUGUAUAUAUAUAUAUAUAUAUAUAUAUAUAUAUAUAAACAAAUAUGUAUAUAUGUACAUAUAUGUGUGUGUAUGUAUAGUUGUGUCAACAUAUAUUAUGUGAAUAUAUAUAUAUAUAUAUAUCAAUAUAUAUAUAUAUAUAUAUAUAUAUAUAUAUAUAUAUAUAUAUAUAUAUAUAUAUAUAUAUAUAUAUAUAUAUAUAUAUAUAUAUAUAUAUAUAUAUAUAUAUAUAUAUAUAUAUAUAUAUAUAUAUAUAUAUAUAUAUAUAUAUAUAUAUAUAUAUAUAAUGAGAUUCUUAAACAAUUUCAGUUUCGCUGUGAUUUUUCUAAAGACAUAAAUAAAAAAACAAAAUUGCAAGUUCUAUUUCUAGUAGAAGAAAAUUGUUAUCUCAUACACAUCUCUGAAAAGACAUCUACUCCCUUGCGUUGUUACAUGUAAGGCUAUAACCAAAUUAAGAUAAUAUAUGGCAACAUAGGAGCAUGUUCAUUUUAACUUUAUUUCAAAACUUCUUGCUGUUUUCGCAUAUUGUACUCAUGCAUCUUUUAAGAAUAUUCUGUUGGAGUUUUGUGAACCAUAACUGACAUUCUUUAACAAUCUUUGCAAUCCAGUUUUUUUUUUUUCGAAAUAUAUUUAUGAACAUUAAAAUUGCUGUAAGUUAAAUGUAUUUUAAAUGUAUUUCAAGUUUUGUAGCUGCACUGAUCUUCAAAUAAUGAAAAUAAAUCAUUCCUCAAGUUUUUGUCAUAUUCUCUCUAUGUUUGAAAAUACUACACACACACACACACACACACACACACACACACACGAAUAUAGUUCUUCAGUGUGUUUUAAACCAUCUUGGCUAUGGCUAUACUGGAGCACUGUCUUUAGCUUUAUGAUUAAAGUGGGCAACCGAGUACUGAGUUAAGAAGUUUUCAUUCUAAUUAAGAGAAAUGAAAACUGUGAUAAUAAGGAAACUAUGAAAUGUUUAUGAUAAUCUUCCUAAUUAAAUCGAUAACUCUUUUACACUUUUACUUGUUUCAGUCAUUUGACUGUGGCCAUGCUGGGGCACUGCCUUUAGUCAAGCAAAUCGAUCCCAGGACUUAUUCUUUGUAAGCCUAGUACUUAUUCUAUCGGUCCCUUUUGCCGAACUGCUAAGUUACGGGAACGUAAACACACCAGCAUCGGUUGUCAAGCGAUGUUGGGGGGACAAACACAGACACACAAACAUAUGCACACACAUACAUAUAUAUAUAUAUAUAUAUAUAUAUAUACAUAUAUACGACGGGCUUCUUUCAGUUUCCACCUAUCAAAUCUACUCUCAAGGCUUUGGUCAACCUGAGGCUAUAGUAGAAGACACUUGCCCAAGGUACCACGCAGCGGAACUGAACCUGGAACCAUGUGGUUGGUAAGCAAGCUACUUACCACACAGCCACUCCUAUGCCUAUAAGAUUUUCUUUUUUUUAAGAAACCUCAAAAAUAACGAGUGGUAAUAUUCAUUCCGCCCAACUGGCAAAAAUUAUUCCUAAUCACCCUUAUUAUUGAAUAUGCAGUGAACCAAUGCUUUGUCUACUGGAAAAACUGCAACCAGCAACCAUUGUUCUCAUUCUCAUUUUUGUUUUUUCUUUUUCACAAUUUUUUCCCAAACAAGGCUUGAAGCCACUGUAACAUAAAGGACUAAAAAAAAGGAAUAUUUCAGGCCUACAAAUUCAAAAUAUGCUUAUUGACAGAAAGCUUAAAGAACUGAAGGACUCAAGUACUGAAUGCAAUAUAAAAUAACUUCAGAAUUAUUACAUUUUAUUGGCUGUCAAAUCAAUGAGGCAGUCUCUAUGUAGCUGUCAAUAACAUCACAUCAUCUUAAAGAAGGACAAGUUGGAUAAUGUUGUCUAUAUUACAUUUUCAUGACCUAAAUAAACCUCCUGCUGAUUUUCUUCACCAUAGGCGUAGGAAUGGCUGUGUGGUAAGUAGCUUGCUUACCAGCCACGUGGUUCCGGGUUCAGUCCCACUGCAUGGCACCUUGAGCAAGUGUCUUCUACUAUUGCCUCGGGCUGACCAAAGCCUUGAGAGUGGAUUUUGAAGAUGGAAACAGAAAGAAGCCCGUCAUAUAUAUGUAUAUAUAUAUGUGUAUGUAUGUAUGUGUAUAUGUUUGUGCAUCUGUGUUUGUCCCUCUCCCUAACAUCGCCUGACAACCGAUGCUGGUGUGUUUGCAUCCCCAUAACUUAGCGGUUCGGCAAAAGAGACCGAUAGAAUAAUAAGUACUAGGCUUACAAAGAAUAAGCCCUGGGGUCGGUUUGCUCAACUAAAGGUGGUGCUCCAGCAUGGCCACAGUCAAAUGGCUGAAACAAGUAAAAGAGUAAAAAGAGAGAGUCUUAUAUACUUUGCAAUACCUCAUCAUUUGUAAACUAUCUACACCUUUAUCUAUUCUCCUAAGAAGUGCUCAGGUGCAUAAUGUUUCAUGGUUGACAAUUGAAAAAAGUACUCAUUAUAGGUGCAGGCACGGCUGUGGUUCCAUGUUCUAUCUCUGUGUGUUGUGUCUUAGGCAAGUGUUUUCUCUUAUAGUCCUGGGCUGACAAAAGCCUUGUGAAUGUAUCAAGUUGAUGGAAACUGAAAGUAGCCUGUCUGAUAUAUGUGUGUGUAUUUCUGUUCCUUGUAUUUCUGUUCCAUGUAAAAGCACCAUCCGUUCAUGGCCAUUUGCCAGCUCCGUCUGGCACCUGUGCGGGUGGCACGUAAAAAGCACCCACUACACUCGCGGAGUGGUUGGCGUUAGGAAGGGCAUCCAGCCGUAGAAACACUGCCAGAUCUGACUGGGCCUGAUGCAGCCUUCCGGAUUCACAGACCCCAGUUGAACCAUCCAACCCAUGCUAGCAUGGAAAACGGACGCUAAAUGAUGAUGAUGAUGAUGAUGAUGUAUUGAUAUCAUGUGAUAGAUGUAAAUGCAAACAACAUCGUUUCAUUCCCAAUCUUUUGUGGAAACAUGAUUGAUUAUAGCAAAAAUAUUACCUUAUUUGGAAACAGGUGAAGGUUGCCACUAGGAAGGACAUCUGGACAUAGAAAACCCACUUCAACAAAAUUCUGUCCAAUUCAUGCAUACAUGGAAAAGUGAUCUCUGUUAAAGACACCCAAGCCUGGGUUGUAGUGUUUAACAGGGUGGAAGAUUAAGCCUGUCGCCCCAUAGCCUCAGAAUAAAAAAAAAUGGAUGGCAUGGGCAUGGCUACGUAUUUAAGAAGGUUACUUUGCAACCAUGUGGUUUGGGGCUCAGUCCCAUUGGGUGGUGCCUUGUACAAGCAUCUUCUGCUAUAGUCCCAGACUGAUCAAUGUCUUAUAAGAGAAUUUUGCAGAUGGAAAUUGUGUGGCAGUCUAUCAUAUAUAUAUAUGUAUUUGUGUCUUUGUGUUUGUCCACUUGACAACUUGUGGUAGUUUGUAUAUUUCCUCUUACCUCGUUGAGCUAAACAACUCAUAAUUCUAAGUAAAUGUAUCACCUCAUAACAUCAUCAUCAUCGUUUAACGUCCGCUUUCCAUGCUAGUAUGGGUUGUACGAUUCGACUGAGGACUGGCGAACCAGAUGGCUGCACAAGGCUCCAAUCUUGAUCUGGCAGAGUUUCUACAACUUGAUGCCCUUCCUAACGCCAACCACUCUGAGAAUGUAGUGGGCGCUUUUACAUGCCACUGGCAUGAAGGCCAGUCAGGUGGUACUGGCAAUGGCCAUGGAAAAAUCGUGUUUUUUUUGUUACGUGUCACCUGCACACUGGCACAAGUGCCAGUAAGGUGAUGCUGGUAACAAUCACGCUCGAAUGGUGCUUUUUACGUGCCACUGGCACGAAUGCCAGUCAUCAAAUUUGAUUUCGAUUCUGAUUUCACUCGCCUCAACAAGUCUUCAAAAACAGUGUCCAAUGAAGGGAAGGUACACAUAAGUGGGCUGGUUACACCCCUGGCUUAGGCCACAACAUUAUUAUUAAAUUUAAUGUCAUGAAUUUAUACAUUAAUUUUUUUUUUAUGCUGACUGAAAAAUGAAAAUUGCUUCAGUUAUAACAUUGUAUACAUAUAUUAUAGUUGAUUUUACAUGAAGAUGUUAUUAAGUACAAUAAAAUAAAUUAGAGAGAAGUGAAGCUGUCAUCUGAAAUGAUCAGUUUGAUAUGUAGCUCAAGAUGUAGAUUCUGAGUUUGUCUGAUGUCUUUGAGAAACGGCAGAAAAUAUGCAAAGGUGUGUUAUCAUCAUUAGGAAAUUUCUCCUUAGAAAAUACUUUCAGAUUGAGACAGAAAUCUUGCUAGAAAACAUUUAAGUUGAGUGAAGAAGUGAAGUAAUCUAAGUUUACUUGAGAUGUGUAUUGAAGCCAAGCAGUACGUGCGGCUGCAGAGUGUGCUUUUAGCUGUAAAUUUCAUGAAAACUAUGUGCUCUCUUCGCUCGUCACAUUGCAUUUGUUGUGAAUGCAGACGAAAUGCAGUUUAUUGGCAUGAAUUGGUGAAGUAUUCCAAACUUUGAAGAUUUUUUUUAUUAUUAUUGUAUUUUUUUGUUUCUUGCCUACAAAGCUGCAAAUACAUUUUGAGAGAAAUACCUGUUAAAGGGAUGGGCUUCCAUAUAUAUUACAUUGCAAAUGUAACAGAUGUACUCUGUAGUCCCAAGUUAUAUUAAGUUGCAAAUUGACAUACUGGUGUUACAGCUACAUCAGCUUACACUUUUAAACUUGAGUUCAGGCAUAAGAUAUUUUCUGCCGUGAUACGAAGAAACCAAAUAUUUUCUUUUUAUCAAUCUAUUAAUAUUGGGUUUGGCAAGAAGACUGUUUGUAUUAUCAGAAAACAGUUGGACAUUUAUACAUAAUUGAGAUUCUUAUUUUUAUUGAGCCAUAUGUUCGGUCUGUACUCAGCAGACUUAUGAUUAAAGACAGUCAAACCAUGACCAUCCCAGAUGUAAUGUUUAUGGGAUAAUAUUAUUGAAAGUUACCUUUUUUUUUUUAUAUAUAAGGUGUGACUAAUAGAGAAUCAGUGGUUAUUUCUAGCAGUCCAAGUGGUCCUUAUUGUGUGUAUAGAAAUAUAUGCAUGUGUAUAUAUAUACAUAUACAUACAUACACACACUCACACAUACACACAUAUAUAUAUAUAUAUAUAUAUAUAUAUAUAUAUAUAUAUAUAUAUAUAUAUAUAUAUAUAUAUAUAUAUAUAUAUAUAUAUAUAUAUAUAUAUAUAUAUAUAUAUAUAUAUAUAUAUAUAUAUAUAUAUAUAUAUAUAUAUAUAUAUAUAUAUAUAUAUAUAUAUAUAUAUAUAUAUAUAGUGGCAGGAGUGACUGUGUGGUAAGUAGCUUGCUUACCAACCACACAGUUCCGGGUUCAGUCCCACUGUGUGGCACUUUGGGCAAGUGUCUUCUACUAUAGCCUCGGGCUGACCAAUGCCUUGUGAGUGGAUUUGGUAGACGGAAACUGAAAGAAGCCCGUCGUACAUAUAUAUAUAUAUGUAUAUAUAUAUGUGUGUGUGUGUGUGUUUGUGUGUCUAUGUUUGUCUCCCCAACAUCGCUUGACAACCGAUGCUGGUGUGUUUAUGUCCCCGUUACUUAGCGGUUCGGCAAAAGAGACUGAUAGGAUAAGUACUAGGCUUACAAAGAAUAAGUCCUGGGGUCAAUUUGCUCGACUAAAAGGCGGUGCUCCAGCAUGGCCGCAGUCAAAUGACUGAAACAAGUAAAAGAGAGUAAAAGAGAAAGAGAUAUGUAUAUGUGUGUGUGUGUAUAUAUAUUUAUAUAUACAUGUGCAUAUGAAGAGAGUGAGAGAGAGAAAGAAAAGGAGAGGGACAUAAUGAUGUUGAUUAUGUAUGUCAACAAUAUGACCGAGGGAGUAUACCUGAUGAGAGUAUUCUGCAUACUAAAUACAAAUAUAGUAGGGUUUCAAAUAUUGUGUAUAAAUGAAUGUGAAUAAAAGAAGAUUGAAAUUUUGACACUGAAAAGUAUCUUCAUUUAAAACUAAGCCAGAAAUACACAGUACCAAUUCCUUGGGGGAAUCUAUCUAAGACUUCAUUCAAAGAUAAGAUUUAAACUCUUUAUUCUUGAGAAUCAAACCUGGUGGCCAAAUACAAUCUUGGUUUUCAUAUUUUGUCUUUAUUUCAGAUUUUGUUAUAUUCCAAGUUAUUCGCUUCUUUGUUCUCCCUCUUUCUAUCAUCACAUUUUCCUUCCUUAAUUCUCAGUUAGAAUUCACAAACAAUUUUAUUCUGAGAGCUUAAAAGUGGUGGUGGUCUUACUAUGGAAUGGCUUUUCUUGAAUUAUUGAAAUAAUUUUAUUCUGUUGAGGUGAAACUAGAGAGCUAUAUACGAAUUCUCUUAUGCAGAUUUUGUAACAUGCCAGGAAAUAAACCUUUUAGUGUUGCAUUAUAGAUAUCCCAAUCUGUAUGUUAUGCAUAUCAAACAGCAAAUAUGAUGUGGGUUUAUACUCAGCCGAGUACUUGAUUUGAGAACACAAGUGAUAUGUAAAUAUAUUUAUGUAUAAUGGUGGUACUCCAGCAUGGUCUUGGAUUUGAUGACUAAAUCUAACUGAAGAACUGAGGAACUUAUUUGGUUGUGAAUGUAUGUGUAUUCAUAUUGUGUAUAAUAUAUAAAGAAUGUAUGUGUGUGUAUAUAUAUAUAUGUGCGUGUAUAUAUUUACAUAUGUAUAUAUAUAUAUAGGUAUGUAUAUAUAUAUAUGUGUGUGUGUGUAUAUAUAUUUAUAUAUAUAUAUAUGUAUAUGUAUAUAUAUGUAUAUAUAUAUAUAUAUAUAUAUAUAUAUAUAUAUAUAUAUAUAUGUAUGUAUGUAUGUAUGUAUAUAUAUAUAUAUAGUUUUUGGGAAAGCAAAAUUGGUGAAAAAAAAAUGUUGGGGAUUUAGGUAAGCAUGAAAUAAUAAAUAGUAAAAAUAAAAAUCUGUUCAUGAAAAGAAAAUGUUUUAGUGCAGUUUACCGUAAUUAAUUUGACAUGAAGUAAAAUAGUUUAAGUGGUAAAUAACUUGAAAUUAUUUUUGUAGCAUAAAAUUACAUAUUGUACAAAAUAAAUCUAAAUAUAUCAACCAAAACAGAUCCAAAUAUUCAAAUUCUCAAAACGCAAUCAUAUUCCUUCUUUCUCCCUCUUUCCUUUUCUAUCAACUUCUUGUUCUUCCUUUCUCUCUCCCUCUCUUUUUCUUGACCUUUCCUUUCCAUGUGCCUUCACAUACAGUUUUGCAGAUACUCAGACAUAUAAUAUAUAUAUAUAUAUAUAUAUAUAUAUAUAUAUAUAUAUAUAUAUAUAUAUAUAUAUAUAUAUAUAUAUAUAUAUAUAUAUAUAUAUAUAUAUAUAUAUAUAUAUAUAUAUAUAUAUAUAUAUAUAUAUAUAUAUAUAUAUAUAUAUAUAUAUAUGUAUGUAUAUAUAUAUAUAUGUGUACUCAGUUUUAUGCAUUCAUAUUCUUCCAUAUCCACUCACAAUCUUGUGUAUAUGUAUUCCACUUUUAUCCAGUAAUUACUGGUAUACCCUGUCUCACAUACACAUGUACUCUCUCUCUCUUGCUUUCUUCCUCUCUAUUUCUUUCUCUCUCACACACUACACACAUGCAUGCACAUACACACACACACACACUUAAACUAAUGCGAAAUUGUAAAAAAUAAAAUUUAAUAUUGAGAUUCAAAAAAAUUGUGAUUAUUGCCAAAAACAAGAAGAGAAAAAAAAUCAACAACUUGUUGUUAUUUACUUUUGUAGGUCCUAAUUCUUGCAAAAUGGAAAAGUUCCUGAAAACGUAUGGAAAUUCUUUACCUCAAACUCCUUCCAGACAAUUGGAUACGUGCAGCAGUGCUAGACAUACAUUUCAUUCUAAUAUAAAUAAAAAUAUAUACAGUGAUGAUAUUAACCAAAUACCUACCUCAGUUGGCAGUAGAAACUGUAAACUAGUCUUGCAACCUUGGGACCUUCCUACAAGAAACACUUUCAAUGUCUCAAAACCUCUUCCUGCACUUCCAAACAACUCAAACAAUUAAAAUGAUAACAGUAAUUAUUUGAAAAAAUAAGGAUUACAAAUGUGUUAUAAAGCUUCUUUGGUAGUUUUAAUGAGAGCAAACUGGAAAGGCUUUAAAAUGAAUGCUUGUUUAUCGCAGUAUACGGGUGCUAUGUGUAAGUUAACAAAUAUACAUUAAAACUGUUUUGAGAGCCUUUAAACAAACAUUAUUUCCACCAAGCUAUCUGUAAAUUAAUUUAGAUGAAUUUUAGAGAAAAAAAAUCAAUAAAGUCAAAAAUAGAAGAAAACUUAAUGGAUUUUAUUUGUAUACGAAUGUGUGGUGAGUGAGAAUUACACACACAUCUAUGCGCACAACAAACAUAUAUGUAUACACAUAUAUACACAUGUGAUAAUGUAUGUAUAUGGAUAUAGGUAUAUUUAUGUAUAAUGUAUAUGUAUGUAUGUAUAUUCACCAUACUUAUGUAAAUAAAUACAUUUUUAUGUAUAUAUUUAUUUAUCUAUGUCUAUUCACAUAUAAUAUAUCAUACACACAUAGGCAUAUACACCAUACACUCAUAAUAUGCCACACACAAGCAUUACACAAUACACACAUAGACAUAUAGAUCAUACACAUUGACAUAUACAUCAAAACACAGUUUCCAGUGUAGAUAGAAAAAAUGUUUCAACCAGUGAUAUUUCCAUUUUUAACAGACAUUUGCUAAUUUGGUGUAGAUCUAAUUUAUUGUCAACAGUAGUGUUAUUUGGAUACAUAAAACUUCUUUAAUUGGUUUCACUGAGAUAAGAGUUUCUUUUUCUGAGAUAAAUUAUAUCAUCUUCAAGGAAAUUCUCUUUAAUUAGCAAGUUAAGAGUUUCUAAAUGCAUAUUUUCAUAAUUUCCUACAGCCGCUCAAAAUCUUUACCACUUACAUUUAAAUAAGUAAUAGGUAGUAAUCUGGAAUCUAUGAUUAUGCCAGCAGCAUUUUCUAUUUAGUCUCAUCAUUUGAUGUAGCAGACAUUUCAAAAGCAGCUAGAAUUUAGAAUUGUGAACAUAGUAUAUAAUGGUAAUUUAUCUUAGAUCUCUCUCUUAUUAUUUCUUCCAACUUUUCUCCUGAUCUUUCUAUUAUUUCUCAAUCAUAAUAUUUGCUUCACAUGUGUGUGUACAUGUGUAUAUAUAUAUAUGUGUGUGUGUUUGUAUGUGUAUAAUGUAUGUAUGUGUGUAUAUAUAUAUAUAUAUAUAUACAUAUAUAUGUAUAUAUAUAUGUGUGUGUGUGUGUAUGUAUAUAUAUAUACAUACAUUCAUACAUACAUACAUUCAUAUGUACAUAUAUGAACAUGUAUCAAUAAUGUAUAUAUUUACACACAUACAUUAACAUGCAUACAUGCAUAUAUACAUGCAUAUAUUCAUGCAUACAUAGCUAUAUAGAUACCUCAACACUUGAAAUAUUACUCCUCAACAUAUUUUGUUUAUUCUAUAUUUUCUUUUUUUUUUUUACUUCUUUCAUUCAUUCAUUCAUUUAUUUAUUUUUUUAAUUAUUGGUUGGUCUUGCAGAAGUAUAGAUCUCACACAAUCUUUGUACAGCUGAUGACUCCUCCUGAACUCCCCACCUCAAAUUACUUACGUAUGGAAUUCUCCUUUCCAACGUUCAGAGAUUUCAUUUAUAGUCGAAAGUUGUUCAUUAGUGGCCAAGCAACGAGACCAAUAUCUGUAGCUAGGUGCUUUUAAUACUCAUAAAUGUACGCCCUAACCUGCAAUGUGAUUCAUGAACAGAUGUACAUUCCUAUUUGCUUUAUUGGAGAACACUAAUAACAUUGGGUGAAAAUAUAUCAAAUCAUAUUGCCUUGAUAUUUUUAUUGCAUUUCGUUACAUGGCUAAAAGUAAAUCUAUUCCUGUUUAUGAUGGCGUUUGAGGCUUACCAUUCAUACCCUAAUUCAUUUAUUAAUCUUUUAAGACAUAAUCUACAACUCAGAAUUCUAGCUAUGGAAACUCUGGAAACAUUAACCAUAACUAUGAAAACAAAAGUAUAGGUUAUAAAUAAGCAAUGUAAUAUUAAAGCAAAGUUUUCAGUUGGUUCAGUAUACAUUUCUUAAAAGAAAGAAAUUUUUAGUACAAUUUUAUUUGUUUAUAUCAUUCAAUUCAAAAAUUGUUUGAAAAUGUUUGCCUCUGAUAUUACUAUAUAUUUAAUUAUAUAUCCAACAAUUUCUGAAUACUUAGAUAUUUUAGUAUUCCUAGAUAAAAAAAAAAGAUAUCUAUCAACUUAACUUUUUUUUUCAUUUUUAUCAUCCUAGGAUAAAUUGGUUAAAAACAGUAUCCGGAUCUUCUUAUUUUGGACGAAGAUUAUGAGAGAUUCUUACUUUACAAACUAUACAGAUAUUAUAUACAAUAGAUUAAAACACAAUUUCCUUUCUCUCUUUCUCCACAAGUUCUUCUUUAUUCAUUCUGCUUUUACUCUUUCUCGCCUCCCCACCUUGCCAUUAAUACUAUGGAUUAUCUUAAAUUCUCUAAAAGUCAUAAAAAAUAUUCCUAUUUAACCCCAUCAUUUACUUGAGUAAUUUCUAGAUGAAUUAAGUGGAUUAUAUAAAACUUACUUCAGAUACCUUUUUUUUUUUAUCAAAAUGCUUGUGUCUCUUUUAAUUCUUUGAAGCUGAUAUUUGUCUCAAAACCAUUCUUAUUUUCAUACGAUAAAACAUUACUUUAAACAUGAACG